UACGAAGGGGGCUAGCGUUGUUCGGAAUUACUGGGCGUAAAGGGCGCGUAGGCGGCCUGUUAAGUCGGACGUGAAAUCCCUCGGCUCAACCGGGGAACUGCGUCCGAUACUGGCGGGCUUGAAUUCGGGAGAGGGAUGUGGAAUUCCAGGUGUAGCGGUGAAAUGCGUAGAUAUCUGGAGGAACACCGGUGGCGAAGGCGGCAUCCUGGACCGACAUUGACGCUGAGGCGCGAAAGCCAGGGGAGCAAACAGG
rnacentral:rRNA from 1 species